UUUACAGUAAAUCAUUAUUUGUAUUAUAAUUUAUAAUACAAAUAAUUUUAUUUGCUUUUAUAAUUUAUUUUAAAUUGAUUUCUACUUGUCAAUAGUCAAUACGUCUACGUCAUGUCAUUAAAUAGAUAUAUUCUUUUUAAUUACUGUAUUACGAUUAUUACGUAACAUGUAUUUAUAAUUAAUGAGUAAUGAAAUUCUUGUUUAUUGUAUAUUCAAUCUAAGAUAUUUACAUACAAUUUACUUUAAUUUUUUUUCUGAUUGAUUACGAAUGUUACGAUCUUUCAACAUUAAAUAGUACCUAGUCCAUAGAUAAUAAUAUACAACUAGAUAGUAGAUAAAUUCUUACCAUUACAAACAAGCAUCAAGAUUGCCCUUUGAUCCAUAGACGUAGUAUAUAAUAUAUUAUGUCUAUGCUUUGAUCAUAGACCUUAAUUACCUUAUACUCAUUUUCAGUAGCGGUUUGAGUCUUCAAAACUCAAGAAGCAAGUUUCAAAACAACUAGCCCACCCACCAACUAAAUUUACUAGGAUCAAUCUUAUACUAUCUGUGCACUCUUGAAAGAGUGGUGCGCCUGCACUGAUGAGAGGAGAUGAUGUGGUCAAGCCUGCCAGUGUCGCAGGUGGCUCGAUCAAAGGCCUCAGCGUCCUUAGAGAAAUUGGCUUUCUCCCCAACAACAGAGACCUUUAUUGGGCCAUCCCUUGUCUCUAGCGGCACACGAAA